rnacentral:rRNA from 1 species
CCUACGGGAGGCAGCAGUGAGGAAUAUUGGUCAAUGGGCGCAAGCCUGAACCAGCCAAGUCGCGUGAGGGAAGACUGCCCUAUGGGUUGUAAACCUCUUUUGUAAGGGAAGAAUAAUGACUACGAGUAGUCAGAUGCCCGUAGCUUAUGUAUAAGCAUCGGCUAACUCGGUACCAGCAGGCGCGGUAGAAGGGAGGAUGCGAGCGUGCUCCGGAUUGAUUGGGUGUAAAGGAAGCGAGGGGGGUAUUGUGAGUUAGUGGUAAACCGUCGGGGCUAACCCUUGAUUGGCAAUUCAAACUGGAGUACUAGAGUACAGGAGAGGUAGGCGGAAUAAGUAAAGUAGCGGUGAAAUGCUUAGAUAUAAGUAAGAACACCAGUAGCGAAGGCGGCUUACCGGACUGUUACUGACGCUGAAGCACGAGAGCGUGGGUAGCGAACAGGAUUAGAUACCCUGGUAGUC